CAAUUUGAAGAACUUUAUCCAAAAACACAGUUUCCACCUGAUGUUAACAAAACUUGUCAUUUUCAUCAUCAUAAAAGAAUGAAUCAGUACCAAGUACAUACAUAGUGAAAGCAGUCAAUAACUGGAUAAGAAUAUAACAGGAGCUGAAAAGAAUACAGUUCUGUUGGCCUUUGGUUCCUGGAUGUGACACAUCUAUAAACUCCUGUUGUCAUUGCAAUACAGUAUCUCUACACAGAAAUAGGGGCUAUUUCUUGUACUGCCCUAUUCCAAUCACACUUUGUGCCUCUUCCUGCAAACAGCAGACAGAUGGAGCAUCAAUUCCUAGAUUAUCAUAUCCAGUCACUGAUAGUGGAAGGCAAGCGUUAGUAGCAUGCAUCUGUCUCUCAUAAUGUUAAGACUCACAAUUACAAACACAGCUUAGUGUAUGCAAGUGCUAGAAUGCACACACAAUGAACUUGUACUGCAUCAGAACUGAGUCAACGCCUAUCGCUUAUUCCAUCUGGAAAACUAACAUGUUU
rnacentral:lncRNA from 7 species